AAAAUACUGAGGAAAAUGGCAGGCAGUGUUGGGAAACUAUGCCGAUUACUUUUCAUCAAAAACAGUUGCACAGUUCACAAUACAUCGCGGAGUUCGCAGGCAGCUUGUUAACUGAACGAAAAACGAGGGAAAUCCCGGAUAGCAGCGACUGCCAAAAGUGAAAGCCCCCAGAAAAAGUACAAGAGAGUAAGCGGAGAGAGGAGGUGGCGAAAAAGAAGAGUCUGGGCGAGAGAAAAACGAUUUUUUCAGAGAACACCGCGAAUUGUGGAACGGGGAGCUAAAACCUGCCAAUAAGGAUUUUAAAUAUAUACUGCGAAAACGGGAGGCUUACGGACAGCGCGCUGCCGAAGAUCGUCAAAAUUCACGGGAUUCAGGGGAUACACGGGAGUCAGCACCACCACGCACCACCUUAUAGCACUUUACUAGCCGCCACCACGCUCCACAAACAGCCAGCCAUCAUGUUCGUCAACUCCAUGACGUUCCGCGGCAAUCCGGCGAACUACCACCAGCAGCAGCCGGCCCUGAAUCACCACACGCUGGCCGCCGCGCACCACCAGCAGCAGCUGCAUCACCAUGCCGCCGCCGCUGGCCACCUGGGUCACGUAGGUGGUGGUCAUGCGGCCAGCAAUCAUCUGGCCGCGGCCGCUGUCCUGGGUCGGCAUGGCCACAAUUCGCUGGGCAGCGGCCACACAUCCAGCUCAUCGCACUCAACUGGAGUGGGUGUGGGCGCUGGAGCUCUGGCCAGCGGAAGCAGUGGCGGCGGGAUCAUCAAUAGCAAUAGCACGCCGGAUAGUCGCAAGAUUUACAUAAAGAACCUGGAGCGGUCCAUCGACAACAAGGCGGUGUAUGACACGUUCUCUGUGUUCGGGAACAUCCUCAACUGUAACGUGGCCAAGGACGAGGAUGGGAAUUCGCGUGGUUACGGGUUUGUGCAUUUCGACACGGAGGAGGCUGCUCGUGCGGCCAUCGAAAAGGUGAACGGGAUGCUGUGCAAUAAUCAGAAGGUGCACGUGGUGAAGUUCAUACCCAGGCGGGAUCGCGAGCAGGAAAAGGCUACGCACUUUAAGAACUUGUACGUGAAGAAUCUGGGCGAGGAGUUCACUGAGCAGCACUUGCGGGAGAUGUUCGAGCCCUACGGUCGCAUCACCAGUCAUAAGCUUAUGCUCGACGACGAGGGACGCUCCCGCCGUUUCGGAUUCGUGGCCUACGAGAAUCCACAAUCGGCGCUGGCCGCCGUGAUUGGGCUUCACGGCAAGCAACUUGGCGACAACAAAUUCUUGUACGUGGCAAGGGCUCUUAGCAAGGCAGAGCGGCAGCAGGAGAUCAAUCGCAAGCUGGAGGAGCGUAAACGCCAGAAGGCUGGACAAAUAUUCUACUAUUAGGCUGAAAAUUGGGCAGCCGAUCGGAGGAGAUUGCGAGGAGUUUACGCAGCACCCACAUACAUACAAUAUAUACACACACAUAUAUAUAAACCUAUAUAGAUAUUUACACGAAAUUGUAUCGAGCAGCUAAGCGAGAAUUCAGGCAGCCAUCAGGCAGAGGGGAAAUAACACAAAAUCCUGAUAAUUGACAUUUAGACGUAGGCAAAUGAGUCGCAACACAGUUGAAAGAUUUAUGGAGGCACCCAAAACACACAGAACACACGAAAAAACUAAAACUAAACAGAACUCGAACUCUCAAUCGAAAGGAUUUUCUAGGACAUUAGGACAACAGUUUCUUAGCACUCACUAGCGUUUUUUUGAAAUUAGAUGUUUGUCUUUACUGUUGAAUUUAGUGAGCAGGGGCUUUGGUGUCAGCUUCUCGCUUAAAAACAAAAAAAAAACACACAUAUUUCAUAAACAAUAUGUAAUGCCAAGACAAGCCCAAAAUUUACACAGGCUCUGUGGCGUACUUGAGAGUUGAAUCGAACGAUAUGAGUCCUGGAAAAAUAUGCAUAUUUACACAUACCUAUAUAUUUAAACAGAACAUAAAAUUGAUGUAACCCUCUAUUAACAAUUGAUGCACUCACUCUACGUAUAUACAUAAACAUAUAUAUAUAUUUAAUGUAAAACCCAUUACACGCUGUAGUUAAAAAGCGUUUAUAAUACUCACACUCUCCACGCUAUAACUAAUACUUUGACGAAAGGAAUCAAGUGCAACACAUUGCGAAAGCGAACCCUACACGUAAUUUAUAUGAUAGACGCAAAUGCGGAUUAAUGAGAAGAACACGUCGGAGCUGAACAGAAAAUGAAAAUAAUAAUAAGCAGGAGGGCCAACUGCAUUUCCUGUGCUCGCAAAACGAAGAAAAGGAAACCACAAAACAGGAUCGUAAAGACAGCAGUAAUAUAACGAAAAAAACAAAAACUAAUUGAAUGUAACCAAUCCAAAAUGUGUACACAAUGCAAUGUUUAAAAUCUUUUUAGAAUAUUAUUAUUGAUGGCACGACAAAAAAAAAACUAUAAUUAUUAAAAAUAGUUUGAUGGCAGGAGGCGUAUAUACAAGUUCGGCCAAUGGCAAAUUAACCCGAAAAAGAAAGCAAAUACAUAAAUAAUUUAAGAUUAUUGAGCUUAAUUUUUAAAAUGUUUCCAAGAACAGCAAGAAAAGAAUAAUAACAUGAAAAGAAAAAAACAAAAUAUUAAGAAAAAACAAUGCUAAACUCACUCAAAAUUUGUAAAAAUUCAAAUUUUGCGUCUAGACAUACACAUGUAUAGUUAAAAAA
rnacentral:misc_RNA from 1 species